ensembl:lncRNA
AUUAGGAAAGAGUGAUACUCCUGAAAGUCCGGACUCUUCAUUCGUUUUUUUGAUCAUCACUCACAUCUGGUAAUGGCGGGACAAGGAAAAAAAUCUAACUAUACUGGACCAAAACAAUUUAAAGGGAGGCAUUUGAAAUUGAAUGAGUUGGAAAAUGAAGCCCAAGAUACUCAUAUGUACGAGAAAUAUCUCAAGAGCAAGAGCAACAUCCCCCUAUACCCUGGACCUAAAGAGUUUUCACCAGAGUUUCAUGCAUCUGAUCUAAAACACGACACGCAUAGAUUUAGUUUACAAGGAAUCAAGAAUGAUGAAGGCUUCAAGGAUCCAAACAAUGGCUCAGAGGAUCCAGAUGGACUGUCCCUGGUGUGGUUCAGUCUGGCUGUGCAAGAAAGGGAGAUCCGAUCAGCUGAGGAGACGCUCCUGGAGAAGACCAACAUGCAUGCAGAGCCGGGCUUCCUGAAGAAGUUUGCCUCCUCUCCAGCGUUCAGUGAGAAGUCCAGGUAUGGAGCGUAUCGCUUCACCUUCAAGGUGGAGGACGUGCUGAAGGCCUAUAGCGAGCAGUUUUGUUCGGGGAAGCAGCCCUGUAUGCGUGUUCUCAGAACGUCGCUGUACAAACAGGAAGUGAUGUAUGCUGUGCUGGUCCACAGCCCAGACCACAAAGAACGCUUCAAAGACUUGUAUCCUGAGGUGUCUGAUGACCCGGAUGCCGUCUGUGCUUACAGACAUGGACACUUCAUCUGGAGGCCACAGGCCAUGUGUGAGACACACAAGUAAGAAACAGAUAACAACAUCCAUGGAUGUAUAUGCACUAUACAGGUCAUCAUGGCCGUACGAGAAACAAUCACAUCUGGAAAACAGUUUCCCACCUGACACCCUCACUCUGAGCUGUUUUAUUACAGUAACUUUAGUGUAUUUAAUGAAGCCAUGCAUGUUUUUAUCAAUAUUAUCUGAGCUACAGGGGCUUGAAGAAGAUGCAGGUGAGUCUAAAAUGUCUGAUCCUCAAUAACUCCACAGGUAACCCAGAUACCCACAUGGAAUAUCCAGAACUUAGAAACACAUUUGACCUGAUCAGCAGCAGGAUGUUUGUCUGUAGUGAAGUGGCUAAAAGGGACAUAUCAUCCUGUGCCAGCUGGUCCUAAACAGUGAUAUGAGCAUGGAAAACUGCACUUUUUGAAGUUUUCUCCAGUGAAUUACCAAAAAUCAAGUCCACAGGUGUCAGUUUGCUGCAUGAGUUUACAGUUCUUUUGUGAGGUGAUUCAAACGUUGCUUCUCCUCAGGUACAAGCUGACUGUAAAUGACAAUGUGGUGGAAGCUGAGAAGGCGACUAAGCCACAUCAGUGGUAUGUUUGGGACCACAUCACCAUCGCCCUGCUCGUAGAGGGCGGAAAGGUGCUGAAGUUUGGUUCUGAUGAUUUACUACAGAGGCUUACAUUCUGUAAAAAAGAUCAAGUGCUUGUUGGACCAAGAUACUAUGAUUCUCGUGAUCUUGCUGAAAAUUGGGUUAAAACGCUGUGGGGGGAAACAACGUUUGAACUGAAAGAGGAGUCUUCAUCUGUGGAGGAGUCUGCACUUGAGGAGCGUUUUGGAGAUCUCUCUGUUGAUGAAAAAUGACCACAAGAUGAUAAAAUGCAGUCUGAAGACUCCCUGCGACGAGACAGCAGCUUCAGUUUGAAUUCUCUGGGUUCUGCAAACUUUUCUUGUUUCUUAUUUUUAAGUGACCAAACAUAUAACUUCAUGUUGGUGUGGUGAAAGCAUUUACAGGGUGUGAAUUUCACGUUUUAUUUUGUAAUCUUUAGUCAUGCUGAGGAUGUCUGUGGGGUGAUAUUAGUUUAAUAGAUUAAUAGUAUAUUAAAGGUUUAUCUAAUGAACCACUUCCUGUGGUAACUAAGUGCACAGUAAAAGACAAAUGACUAAACAUUCAUGACAAUAUGAGGAGAAAAAUGUGAUCAUGUGUUUUAAUGCAGUCUUUCGGGAUGGGAUGUAUCUAUAUACCUGAAUUAAAGAGAAAUUACUUUGCACACACAAAAAGUGGAAGUUGAAGUUGAUUUAAAACUUUGCUUUUAACUAUGUAAAGCACUUCGUGCUACAUUUUUUUUGUAUGAAAAGUGUUUUAUAAAUAAAGACUGAUUGAUUGAUUGAACAACAACA